CUACGGGAUGCAGCAGUGGGGAAUCUUGGACAAUGGGGGCAACCCUGAUCCAGCCAUGCCGCGUGGGUGAAGAAGGCUCGCGGGUUGUAAAGCCCUUUCAGCAGGGAAGAAAAGCCUCGGGAUAAUACCCCGGGGUCUUGACGUAACCUGCAGAAGAAGCACCGGCUAACUCCGUGCCAGCAGCCGCGGUAAUACGGAGGGUGCGAGCGUUAAUCGGAAUUACUGGGCGUAAAGCGCGCGUAGGUGGCCUGUUAAGUCGGAUGUGAAAGCCCCGGGCUUAACCUGGGAACUGCAUUCGAUACUGGCAGGCUCGAGUGUGGUAGAGGGAAGCGGAAUUCCCGGUGUAGCGGUGAAAUGCGUAGAUAUCGGGAGGAACAUCAGUGGCGAAGGCGGCUUCCUGGACCAACACUGACACUGAGGUGCGAAAGCGUGGGUAGCAAACAGGAUUAGAUACCCUUGUAGUC
rnacentral:rRNA from 1 species